GUAGGUGGUAAGCGUUGUCCGGAAUUAUUGGGCGUAAAGCGCGCGCAGGCGGUUCUUUAAGUCUGAUGUGAAAGCCCACGGCUCAACCGUGGAGGGUCAUUGGAAACUGGAGAACUUGAGUACAGAAGAGGAAAGCGGAAUUCCACGUGUAGCGGUGAAAUGCGUAGAGAUGUGGAGGAACACCAGUGGCGAAGGCGGCUUUCUGGUCUGUAACUGACGCUGAGGCGCGAAAGCGUGGGGAGCAAACAGGGAUUAGAUACCCUGGUAGUCCACGCCGUAAACGAUGAGUGCUAAGUGUUAGGGGGUUUCCGCCCCCUUAGUGCUGCAGCUAACGCAUUAAGCACUCCGCCUGGGGAGUACGGCCGCAAGGCUG
rnacentral:rRNA from 1 species